UGGAGGGACAGGAAGGUGCUGGGGGAUGGUUGGUGGUGGGCUUUCUACUUUGCCUUUUCCUCCUUAUGCCGCCUUAGUGAGAGACGGGAGCUCUGGCGGCAGCUCCGGGGUGGGAGACAAGCUCCGGAGUCGGAAGAGCUGGGUUUGCUUCCGGGCCUAGCCACCAGCUGGCCGAGUGACCUUAGGCAAGUCACUCUGUAAUCUGCGCCUCAGUUUCCUCUUCUGUCUAUCGAUGUUUGUGGAAUUAAAAGCGCUUUGUAAACUACAAAGUGUCAGUGUACGUAAAGGAUUAUUAUUUUAAUUUUUUUUGAGUUGUAAGAAAACAGCAAUUGCCCAGUCCAUGGGUUUUGAACCUAGGAACCUUGGAUUGGAGUUGGAGAUUCCCCAAACUCCCUGAAACUGUAUGCACAAAUUAGUGAGAAUGUGUAUUUUAGGGGAAUGAGGAUACAUCGCCAACAAUUUUUCAUAGGGAGAUGUCACCCCCAAAGAGUUAAGAACCACAAUUUCUUUAUGCCAUAGGGAGGAAACUGAGGCCUAGAUGUCAUUUGGGAUCCUUCACAACCAAUUUGAAGCCCCUGUUUGAAUCCCUGGGAUAUGUGAGCUUUUCUGUGCAUAAUGGGUAUUGGGGUAACAACACUCCACUGCUUGGCUUUUUUUCUGAGUCCUUUCCUUCCCCCACGGGGUGCCUGAAGAGUGGCUAAUGCAUAUGGUACAGUGGCACCCAAUAUAAAGCAGCUGAAACUAGGAAUUGGGUGUGUUUUGUAGUAUCAAGAAGCCUACUUAAUCUUUGGCCCAUUAACUUUGUUGCUGCUUAUACUGGUACCUGACUGCCUUUCUUUCAUUGACCAUUUUUCACGACCAUGUUUCACAUGUUACUUGCUCCUGUUAUAUGUUUCUAGUCGAUGUGGUUGGUAGUGUGCAGGCUUAUUUUUAAAGGGUGCUGCCAAGUCUAGCUAAUUAAUGGUGCAGGUGGAUUUUUUGAAAGCUGGCUAACUGGAACAGACUGUACCAGGCAUGGAAUUCCUGAAGAUGUUGGGGGGUUAUCUUUUAUUAAUUGAAGGUUAACAUUUUCUGAGAAGUUGUAUUAGAACCUGUGCUGAACCUCAGAAUCAGUAGAUUUGGAAGUGUUUAAAAGCUUAACUUUUUCCUGGACUGCUUUGUAUUCUAUUUGCUUGCAAGUGUGUUACUAAGGUGGCCAAAAUGCCAGCUUUUUGCUUCUUUGUUAAUUGUCAGCUGCUUUUAUCUAAUUCCAGGCUAUUACCCAGCAAACACUAUAGAAAUGUUUGAACAGUUGGGUUUCAAACAUUUUUGUUUUGUGGAGUGGUACAACUCUAAGAAAGCGAACACACACAUGUAAGUGUAUUUUGUCUGGUUAGAUGUUAUCCGGUUCUGCUAUUGCAUACAAAUAUCUGAAAAAAAUCAAUUGACUGUUCCCUUUACCUAAAGGGCAGAGACAAAUGAUCUCACUUCCAGAGAAAUAACUUUUUUGGAGAAAAAUGUGUUGGUCUUUUGUAAUAAAAUUUGGAUGUACUGCAAAAGAAUCUUAAGACUGGUGAUAAGAUGCUUUUCUCAGCAGAAAGGAGGGACAAAAACAACUGGAACUCAAAGCUUGAACUUCUGUGACAAAACAUGAGAUGUCCAGGAUAGAAGGUUGAAAGGGUUUCACUACAGUGUUCUGCACUAGCUGGAGCAGAUGUCUUUCAGUGUAGCUAUGGCAUGGACUCCAGAUUUGCAAGACCACAGGACCUGGAAUAGCUUAUGAGGAUGUGACAGGAACUGUGGAGCUGGAUAUUUUUAUUUUUGAAUUUUGAGACUAUUCACCUCGCUUUCGGAAGAGAGAAGACGACUAAGCUAGCAAUACCACCAGCGCUGUUACUGGGAAUUUGAAGACCUGAGUUUCUGCCAGACCCUCAGUGCAAACUCUGGUGACAUUGCAUCCAAAGUGAACUACGAUAGCAAGCCCCUUGGAAAAAAGGGUCUUGUCUUACGAAUCUUUGCCCACACAUACUACCACAUAUGAUGAAGCUUUUAAUAGAAAAGAGGAAUUUAGAGAGCAGGCUAUCUCAGAAUAAGCAUUCACCUACAGAUUUGGUACCUGGAUUUCUGUCCAUGGUGAUUUCUAUCACCUUACUACUGAAGAAGAUACCAUUCCAGUGGACCACUGUGACCCAAGGGACAUUCAACCUUCAUGAUGUGGCCUUCACCUCUACUCCUCUCCUUUUCUACCCAGAUUGAGCACCACCCUUUAUGUGAAGUCAAACUCCUCAAGCCAAAUAGCUGAAACUAUUUAAUCACAACAAAGGCCCAGUUUGUUCCAUGAGUGUGUAUUUUGUUUCUUCAGUUAAAACCUUCAGAGAUACAUAAUAAAUUUGGAUCAGGGGAUUCUUAGUUAUCAACGCUGUCUGAAGAAUGGUAACAUCUUCUUGAGAACGACAUUGGACCAUGUCCCACAAUCUCAGAUGUUUGAAGUUUAUGAAGUGUUGAGGAUCCCAUACAGGUUACUGGACACUGUUCUUUUUCCAUUUCAAAUCUGUAGAAUCCUACUGAAUGAGAAAGAUAUUCUGACCCAUUGGGAUUAAAACAGGCACAGUGAAGUCCAUAUAGCAUCUUUGGGAUUACUCAGGAACCAGGACUUUCCACACAAAUGUAAGAAAUUUUACAAAGGAAUCCUUUACCCAGCAUUUCACAAAGCUUCAAUCAGAUUCCAGAAAAGUCCUCUUGAGACAUCCAGGUAGAACCUAUAUGCAUUUUGUGAACAACUUACUCUUAGAUCAUUGGUUUUCCAAAGGCUUUGUGGCCAUGAAGCCCUUUGAACGAAAACUAUGUGGAAGGCCAAAGUAAAAGUGAAGCUGCUCUGGAUGAAGCAGAGUGGGGGUCCUGAAACCUGCCACAAGCAUCUUCCUUUACCACCAUGGUGACACCUAAGGAGAGACUUCUGUACAACACCUAGAAUUCUUCAGAACACAUUUUGAAAAACACUGCCCUAGACAGCAAUACGUUCAACCUGAAUGGUAUUCUGAUUGGUACCUCUACCCAACACAGUCCGUGUUCAGUUGGUGUUGAACAUUCUUAGGAAUACUUACUGUGAGCAAACUCAGAAAAGUGCAAGAACUUUGCCCCCCAAGUAGUUAUAUGGGCCAAAGGUGGUAUCAAAUGGACCUAAAUUAACAACCCUCUACCCCCACAUGGACUUCCAGUGAUUCCUUGGUUUGGAUAUAGACAGAGUAAUUCAUAUGUACUCUACACUGACAACCUCCCUUACUCAACUUCUUUCACAAACAACAGAUGCUCUAGUGGUACUUGAAAUAUGUGAAUUUGAAGCCUUGAUCCUCUUUGGAUACCUGCAUUGCCAGGUAUUGAAGCUGACGCCUCAUGAGGCCAUAGUAGACCAACUUGUACAUCGAACCUCCCCUCAUGAGCCAUGGUACUCUACUUAAUGUGCAAGGGAUAACCGUUAACUAAGCAGAGUUCAAAUUCUGGUAACAUUAACUAAAAGGGUACCUGGUUUUAUCAUUCAUCUUACUCAAACUACAAGUCACUAUGACUCAACCAGUGGCAGUAAUACUACUGGUUUUUCUUUAACUGCUGUUUCCAGGAUAAAUGAGCUAAUAACUUUUUAAAAGCUAAAGCAGUUCCCCCAUCAUUGGCAUAUCUGCCUGGCAUAGUUUGCUCUAAAAUUAUGAAUACUCAGCUCUAACUGCAUGUAAGAUCUGAUCCACAAGAGAUCAUCUUUGAACAUCUUUUCUCAUGUAUGUGAUUUAAAAUGUGGCCAUUUGGAAAGUUUUCUUCUAGCCAAUGAGCAGUUUUAAGAAGGGUCUUUCAAUGUUCGGUACCAUCAAUUGUAGGUAUUAGGGAUAUUUUGAGGUAGGCUUUUUGAAUAGACUGUGAUAACUUACUUGCUGGGAAUCUCAAAUUGUGUAUCUACUUUUUUUGCUAGAAACGUAGACUGACUUGAAAAUCUACAAAGCCUGCAGUUUAGGAUUUUGUCAGUAGACUCAAGCUUCCUGCUGUGCUUCCUAAUGUCACAAGACCAUAGUUCCUUGUCCUUGUGGAUAUGUUCAUGGAAUUUUAUCUGUCUCGAUACUGUUUUAGACUGAUUCAGAGUGGCCAGCUUCAUUCCUUGCCAUGAGAUACUCUCAGGCAUUGAGACAACUUAUCUGUUCAAAGAAUUCAUUUUAUGGACUUCCAAACCAAAUCAUGAACAAGUAGACUUUGAUUUAUGUCAUGAGAAAAGCUCAUUUACUUCACAGUUGACUUAAGGGCCAGCUGUCCUCAACUACUUUAACAAAUGCACUGGUUAAAUGUUGGGAAUAGUUUCUUUAUAUCUCUUGUCCACUAGACAAAUUAUGAUUAUGUGACUUAGUCUGCAGAUCAUCAAACAAGGCCUACGUCUGUUUACUCUAGACUGCUCACUGUCAACAAAUAAAAGUAAGAUGACUAUCCUGCUUGUAUAUACAACGAUAAUUUGUAAAGAAGAAAUCUACAGACUCAGUUUUUUUACAGGAAAACAUUGAUCUACACUGCCAGUCAUUCCCUUUAAUCCUGUCAUACUCGGUCAAAAUGAGGGGCUUAAGGUGAGGAUCAUCUUUCAAGGGUCGAAUGAACACUGGGUAUAAGAAUGGAUGGUUGAAAAAGCAAAAAGUCUAAAAUUCAAACCUAGGAUCUCACCUACUGUCUCCAUGCCUCAGAUCUCUUCUAAGUCCAGCAGCACCACUCAGCCAGUUUGUGGCCUUGACUUGUUUUUGAUUCCCAGAGAUGUGCUGAAUUAUAGAAGAUAGAGACUUGAUUCCCAAAGAAAGUAGUGCCAGUCUUGAUGAACCCUGUCACUUCCAGGUGUAGGCAUAGACACCUAAACAGAACCAAGUCUGGAUUGAGAAUAUCGCCGCCUCCUGAGCUGAAAGUUCUUGGGCAAAUGAGUAGGAAAAUGAAAGCUGCUGUACCUGUCUAUUUAAGAUCCAAAAAUUGUAUCCACAGUAAACACUAUGGAUUAACCCUGGAGUACUCCAGGUAAAAACUAAUUUACAGAGCUUCAAUAUUAAACUACAUGUUCUUCCAUGUCAUACCCUUGUUAGUAUGGCUGGCCCUGCUGAAGGUACCCUACUUACCCAUUUACCUGACUCAGCCCUUGCCUGCCUUUUUUGAAAUGUUGCUGCAAUCAGACUUGCUGUCCUCAAGAAGAUUACAAAUUAUCUCAACCUAUCUUAUACCCAUUCCACCAAGAAGUUUUGAACUGAAGCAACUUGCACUUCACUCCACCAGGAUGUAAUGUUCUCAACAAGAAGGACCAUGCUGUAUACUCUAACCAGGAGCAGCCUUUUUUUUUUUUUUUUUUUUAAGUGCAGAGUAAGUCUCUAAGCCUAUAUAUAUAUUUGAUCAUUUUCUGGGACCCCUUUUACCAGAUCUGAAGGAGUACAGCAGAUAAAAAAAAAGCACUGUCAAUUUCUCUCUUCUGCGGUAAUACAGAAGGUGAGUGAUUCACCAGUACAGAAAUGAGAAAUGUUCAAUUUGGCAAAAGACUUGAACACAGGAAAAGUUUUCCAGGAACUUAAAAUCUACCACUGACUUGAAUAGCCUCACAGAACUACUUGCCAUUGGGAGACUAGUUGUCUUGCAUUAUGUCAACUAGAUAGUUGGACUCUCAGUCUCUUAUUACUUACAUUGAAACACUAUUGUAUCAUCCAGACUAUGUUACUGGACAUGAUUAUUCCAUUCAAAUGGAUUAUAAGCUUCCUGACUACAGGACAUGCUCCUCAUGGUGUUUUUUCAGAAUAAUUUUAUUAUCAUGAAAGUAACAGUGCUAGCUCUUACCAUGCAACUUUGAGAUUAAACUUUUUCAAUAUCUGGUCUUAAUCACUGGUAUCAGUAAUUUUUAUUUGACCAGCAUUCAUUCCAUCUCUUUGUAACAACUCCCUGAUGUUUUUUUGGAACCACAUCUCCCUAUUUUCAGUCCACGUAGUUCAGACCUAAUCAAUCAGCAUAGUUCAUCUCCUUGAUCAUAGUGACUGAUUCAGUUCAGGAAUGGUCGUGUGAUUCAAGUUGAUCCAGUGAUACUCAACCCUAGGAGUUUUACUGAACUGUGGAAGAAGAAAAGCUCAGACCAGCAGUGUCCACCAUAUGAAAUGAGCCAGUCGGAGAAUGAAGCCAGUGCAGAGGAAAGCGGAGCCAAAUGAUGGAGAGACUUGAGUCCUGAUGACAAUGUUUGUGCUCCUAAAUCCACCUGUGCCUGAAGCUAAUAUAUCCUCUGGAUUUUUCAGUUUUGUGAACCAAUAAAUAUCCUUUUGUUUAAGUUA